ensembl:snRNA U6 U6 spliceosomal RNA
GUGCUCGCUUCAGCAGCAUAUAUACUAAAAUUGGAAUGAUACAGAGAGAUUAGCAUGGCCCCUGAACAAGGAUAACACUCAAAUUCAUGAAGCAUUCCCUAUUUUU